rnacentral:misc_RNA from 1 species
GUAGGUGAACCUGCGGAAGGAUCAUUACCGAGAGACGGGGUCGAACCGGCCCCACUCUUCACCCCUGUAUACCCACCUCUGUUGCUUUGGCGGGCCGUCGGGCUCAAUCGCCCGGCGUUGGUCGCGGGGCUCACGGCCCCGCCCGGCGAGCGCCCGCCAAAGGCCCCGUAAACUCCGUUAUCAGUGACGUCCGAGUAGUUACACAAAUAGCUAAAACUUUUAACAACGGAUCUCUUGGUUCUG